UUUCAUUCUUUUUAAUGUCCAGCCAUUAUCUGGCCCAUCCAGUGACAAUCCCGCUGCUAAGUCCAGGACACCCUGGCUCACACUGCCACCUCCGGACAUGGAUAUGGUCCCUGCCAUCCCAGGAAUGGAAUGUCAUUGACAUGGUGACGGCCACCCUCCACCAGAAUGGACUCCUGUGCUCUGUGCAUCUCUGCUUCACUAGCUCCUGACUCCAAGUCUUUGAUGGGGCAUCUGAUUGGCUGAGCGUAAGUCAGGAGCCCACACUAACUGCAGUGGCAGCUGGGAAAAUGACUGUAUGGCGUUUUUCGCUUCUCUGGUGGGAGGCAACUAGGAAGAUGGGCAAUUUCUCAAACACGGUAGUGGGGGUUGGAUGCCGGUCAGCCUUGUACUUACCUCACCUGGAAAAAUGCCGAACAGCUGUCCCCAGGGAGUGCUAGAGGAUUGUAUGUCUCCAGGGACAGCCUGAGCUUGUCUUCCCUUCCUCCAGAUGCUGAUGGAAGUGUGUGUGUGUAAGGACAGGAACACAUUACACAACGUGGGGUCAGGAACCCUGGGUACGGUUCUGAGUCCCCGGGCCUCAGUUCCACUCAGCCUGCUGUCCAACCUUUGAGCAUGCAGAAGAUGUGUGGUGGCUUCUGCUGUAGUCUGGGCCACUGGGCCAAAAGAUGCCCCCAAGAGUGCCAAAGCCCCAAACGGAAUGGGGCCAUUGGUUCCGUGUAACAGAUGAGAGCGUAGGUUUUGGAGUCAGAGAGAUCGGGGUUCGCCAGCCAUGUGACCUUGUACAUGUUCCUUAAAGUCUCUGAACCUUAGUUUCCUUAUCUGUAAAAUGGAGAGGAGGUGGCAGGCACUCAGCCUCCAUUCCAACCUGUUUCUAUGGCGCCUUCAUGUUCUGCAGAGGUUGGAAGGCUAAAAACUACAGUUCCCAGACACCUUUGCAGCUGGGGCUGCGGAUGAGAAUUAGAUUCCAGCAAGGAGAUGCACUUGUGUGUGAGGUUAGGAAGGCAGCAGCGGGGAAGAGACUACUUGGUGCUGAAUGUUGCUGCUGAAGACAAUGUGUGUGUGUGUGUGUGUGUGUGUGUGUGUCAGUGUGAGAGAGACAGAGAGAGAGAGGCAACAUUCUAGUGUUUGAUUAGUUACCGGCUUUGUGGGUACUGAGAGGUGUUGUGGUGGCAGUGGCUUCCUGACCUUGGAUGGCAACUACAAUAGUGUCCUCUUGAAAUCAACAUCUCUGGGGCUGACCCCCUCCCUUCCCACCUCCCUGAUGAUGGCAGAAGUCUUGGCAGCCCAGCUCAGCGGUGUUACGGGCGUCUAGAGCCUGCUCCAAUGAUCAUGUAAGCACCUAAUUUCCUGUAUUAUAUCUCUUCUGGAUUAAAAUAGCUGGACUGGAGAGGCUUUCUGUUUCCUGCAACUGAACCCUAACUGCUAUAGGAGUCACACCCCAUUGCUCACACAGUUGUUGGGAUGAGAUGAGAUGGUGGGUGCUACACAGCUUUGUAAACUGUAAAGUUUACAAAAACUUUGUUAGGUGUUUUUCGAGGAAGGGUGUCCCUUUUGUCAGGGGAGACUAGACAGGAUAGAAACCCUUGUGACGAGCCACUUGUUUACACGCUCUUUUAUCGCAAACUGCUGGAGCAGAAGACAGCCUGAAAGAAUUCAGGUAAUUUGUGUACAUCACCUGCUUUCGGAGGCCGAAAGGGUUGUGCUAUGGAUUCAGGGCGGAUACAGCCUCUCUGUCCCCAAUUAGAGCAAUGAGUGACAUGCCAUGACGGCUGGGAAAGGUGGCAGGUGUCCUGGUGUGAGCCUGAAAAGUCAGCUACCACGGGGCUCUCCCGUACCCAUGCCUGGGCUCCCCCAUUAACCCGCUAGUUUGUGUUAAAGCCCACUUUAAUUCCGUACCCCUCCCAGUUAAAUCUUCGUGUUUACAAAACCUUUCCCUCCUCUCCCAUCAGGUUUGAAGGAUCUCCCUGUCUGUGGUGAAUAACAUUCUCAUGGUCAUGUCAUUGGCCCCUAUUUCCUGCCACAAAAUGAGGAGUCCCUGUGGGAUAAAGAAAAUGAAGAUCAGGGCGGCUAAGUCACUCGACCGGGAUCGUGCAGCCAGCAAGUUGGGUGCCAGGACUCAAAGCAGGUCUUUCAUGAGAAGAACUCUUGUUUUUUUUCUUUUGUCUCUUCCACUCCCUCCCUCUCUGUCCUCACCCCUCCAUCCUCUAUCCCGGAGGUUCUCAACUUGGCCGUAUAUUGACAUCACCUGGGGAGCUUUAAAAAAUAAUAUUGCUGUUAGGCCUCCACCCUAGGAAACUGAAUCUCCGGGGUGUGACUCCAGCAUCUGUACUUUUUAUUCCCUCUUCACAGGCAGCCUUACCCAGAUUCCUUUGCGAUUCCAAAUGUUUCUGAUGCAUGCAUUUGCACUAAGGUGUUAGUAACUGGAUGUGUUACCUUUCUCAGGGUGUCUGCAUUUGAAAAAAGAGCCGAGGACAUAAAAUAAUGAAUCACAUAAGCAUCUUAGCGAGUGGGAGAGACCAGCUUUUGAUCUCCUUUCUCACACUUGCAGCAGAUUUAUUGCCCUCACAUGUCCUGCUAGGAAUCUACCCAGCAGUCUUGGCUGAGACUUCUGAAUAUACUGUGGCUUUUUGAGGGGCUUUUUGGGCUAGAAGAACUUGAAUGAAUCAUUUUUGAAUGCCCUUAAGCCAUCAACCUUGCCCACAGAGGGCAGUCAGUUCAAUUCUAACUAGCAAGCAAAACCAAAAUUAUUCGCCCAAAAUGUUCUUGCUUUUGUUGUUGUUUGUUUUUUUUAACCAUUCCGUGAUGAAUCUUCCCCUGUCGGACCUUUCCCAGCGCCCAUCCAAACAUACUCAGCCACAGAAAUCGAGGUGGUGUGUAUCUAAACCGUAAGUUAGAGUCAUUUCCCAGAUCCCAGUUCAAUCAAAUUUCAGGAGACCCUUCCCGUGGCUAAUUUUAGGACAUGACAAAUUUUGAUGUUGACGCCCCCUUUUAAUUUUUUUAAUUGUGUAAACGUUUUUUUAUUGAAGUAUACUUGACGUAUAAUAUUACAUUGUCGUAAACCUUUGAUUUUUAAAAAGGAAGAAAAAUAAAAGCCACCCUAAAAUGAUUUUUUUUUUUUUGACUGGCAUCUACAUCUCUACCCUGCUUCCUGCACCUGGUGGGGGACACAGCGCUUCUCCGCCCUUCAGGAAACGGCCCACUUGUCAGCAGCUGGGCUCCCAGGAACAAAGGCCUAGGUUCAUUACCACAGUAUCGACCCUGACACGUUGCACUCGGGCCACCUCCCCCAGAGUUCCUCAAUUCACACCCCAAAUGAAGCGUAAUUGGACCUGGACAUCUUUGAAGUCCCCCGAGCAGCUCGCCAGCAUUUUGAAAUGUCCUCGAUUUGCAUGGUGAAAACCUGGUUGGAGGUCCCUUAAUGGCCAUUUGUAUUGGAUGAAGUUCAUAAGGAUUUGCAGAGGUCCUCCAGGGCCUCUGUGAGGGUGAAGAAACAAGCUCUGCCAACCACGGGUUCUCAAGGAACAUUUGUCUGCCGUGGAAUUAAUCAGAAGUCGUGCCCUCCCUCCCUCUGACAGCUGCAGGGGGAGAGGGUGGAGGAAUUAUCCAGGGAAUGCGAGGGCAAUGGGGGCCACGUGAUAAGAAGGAGCGUUCUCCCUUGUCCCUUUCCAACGCCCCCGCAGAUGUGGCCGAGGAGCCCGGCCCUGCAAGGCCAUGGUGGAGGAAGGAGGCUGUGUAGUAAUGUGGUUAGAGCUCGGCAAACCCGGCUCCAAAAGCCAGCGCUGUUAUGUAACAGGUGUGCGCCUCAGUUUCCUCUGUAGUAAAAUGGGAAUGACUUCCGGGCUGGUUGUGGGGAUUAAGGGAGGUCAGGCGAAUAACGGCCCAGGCACACCAUGGGUUUAGGAGAUGGCGGUUCCUGGGAUUUAUGCAGACCUGUGGGAGUGGAGCCCUAAGCGUAAAUCGUUAACUCCUCAAAGGUAUGUUUGCUGUGCCCUGGGAUUUUCAAAGGGCAGGCUCUCCCAACAGCUCCAGAACCUUGCUACUCAAAAGGCCCGCGGACGGGCAGCAGCCUCACCUGAGAGGCUGUAAGGACGCCCUCAGAUGCUCCCCAGGCCUGUCGAAUCAGAAUUUCUAUAUUAAGAUUCCCUCAGGUGAGUCAUAUGCACAUUAAACUUUGAGAAGCACUUUAGAAACUCCCUGUGAAAUCUGCAAUGUAGAAAUGACUAUUCCCAUUUUGAGAAUGAGAUCACUUCCGCAGAGUCAGAGAAUUGAUGCCUUCUUUUGCCCAAGCUUAUGAGCUCUCUAAAAGAGGCCUUGUGACUCCUGGGGGUUGGGGGGGGGGUCCUGGAUCCCUUUCCCUACCCAUGGCUGUUCCCUGAAGGACCAGCAUACUCCAGGGCAGGGUGGAGAUGAGCGAGGCCGGGGGCCAGGGUCUUAUCUGCGGCCCCAUCGCCGCGAAGGGGGCCAGGUUGGCUGCCGGCUGUCGAAGUGCUGUGUGGAGUCCACCCUGAGGAGUAUGGGGUCUUGAACCUGGGGCCUGAGGUGGGAUGACAAAGAGGCCAGAAAAAAAAUGCCGUGUUAAAGCGGAAUUCCUGUGUUAAAGUGGAAUUUCACGCAGGUGGAAACACUUGACUCUCGUGCAACUAUAAAACGACCGCAUGUCAAAGAUUUGAUUUAGCUCAUUCAUUAAUGAGGGGACCCUCUAAGAGGUUAAAACCGAUUACAAUGAGAAUGUGAGGGGCUAGGUAUUUAUAGGCAGUUUAAUAGAAGAAUUUGGGGGUGAGAUAGCUAGGUUAGAAAUUAUUUGCAUCUCUACCAGACAAAAAUCUGAAAGUGAACCAACCCCUGCAGCUAUGGGGUUGUAAAAUAGCCCGGUCGAUAGGAAAUCAAUCAAAGGUGUCAGCCCCUGCACGGUGCAGCAAGAACACCCAAUAAUCUCUUUCGCCUAUUUCCAAUUUUGGAUAAUUUCUUCUGACACUAACCCUCGGUUAGUCCUUGAGAAUCCGGAAAUUGCUCUUGCCUGAGAAUUACCCUCAGAAUGGAAUGUAGGUCUUGGCAGGAAAGGAGGAAUGAAAGAUGAGCAAGUGCAUCUUCUCGAAGACGGGGAGUGUGCUCUCCCGGCCACCUUCCGUGUCUCCUGCGAUGUACCAUGCAACUGCUCUCAGAGGGCGAGAGCUGGCGUCUUGCAGGAGAAAACCGACUGUUCACAGAAGGGGCGCAGCGCGGCCCGCUCCUGACUCCCAUUCUCUUUAACCUUGGCCUGCUGCACAGGGGCGGAUGGUGUAUCUGCAAACAUAUGCAGCCUUGUCCAAAAUAUUUUCCCCUCCUGUAUAGUUCUUGCCAAUAUUGUUAAUCUGUGGGUUGACUUCAGACCAAAAUAAAUCUCCCAGCCCUGGCCACCAGCUAGCUAAUUUUACUUUGUAACCAGGGAAUAGAAAGUACGGGCCCUUGGCCGACCAUUCUGUGUUUAUUUGGCUUUCUCUCUGCUGCAGUUUCAAAAUCACAUUUGGAAAAGUGGACCCUCUGUGCAUAAGAACAGCCACUGAGAGAAACAACAACAAAGAUGAACGGGUUGAAAAAGGCAAGUUCUUCCAUUGCCCUCCACGUUUGUCUCUCAUCUCAGGAUUCUGAUCGUCCCCACUGGCCUUUUCCGUGAUGGCUAGAGUUGUAAAAUGGGCCCCAGAGCAGAAGGAUACAUGGCCAUUCGGGGAGGAUUUUUUCCUGGAACUCUCCUGGGUUCUCCUGGACCAGUCCUAGAGGAAGCAAGUGGGUAGAAGCUUACCAAGUCAGCCCUGGAAGGGACCUUGGAGGGCAGCUAGUCCAGCCAAGCCAGCUGAAAGGCAGGGUUACCUAGUGGUUGAGCGCACACAUUUGAAGCCAGACAGCCCCAGCUUGAACCAGUUCUCCACCACUUCCUAGCUGUGUGACCUUGGACAAGUUUACUAACCUCCGCCUCAGUUUCCUCACCUGUCACAUGGGGAUAGUAAUCAUCAUACCUACCUCAGACAGUUGUAGCGGUGACAAAAUGAAUUCACACAUAAAGCGUCAGGAAUAGCGCAAAGCGUACAGUAAGCGUUUGAUAAGAGAAGGAAAUGAGGCUCCGAGGAGAAGCAGCCUCCCCGAGGUCACUCAGGGAUUUGCCAAACUGAGCUGGACUCGGUGAAAAGGAGGAGAGGUUACAGCCUCUUGGAAAUUCUGACUAAUAACUGUUUCUCUGCCUGUGUUACAUCACCCUCGCUCAACACUUGGAGAGAGACCUCAUGUGGAAGUCAGGGUGCCGCAUUCCAGUCCGGGCGUGCCGCUCACCGACAGUGGCCCUCCUAGCUAAUGAGCUUGGGGGCUGGAUGGUCUCUGGGGUUCCUAUUGGCACUAACAUCUUAUAAUUUGAAAUUAGGGUCUGUACCCUCCAUUCAAAUCAAGUCUGUCUUUUCCUGCAACACGCUUUACACUUUUUUUUUUUUUCUCCCCAUUUCCCUCUGACGUUUUGCCCAACUGUAUCCUGUGCGCAUCAACACCCGGUUUCCUUUUGGCCCUCCCACUCUGUCCCUCCCCACGUUGGCCCCUCUCCCCUUCCCCCCCUGCUAGGGCAAUCAUGGGCUCCCACUGGCCCACACCUGAGCCCUCAGUUGCCAGGUUUAAGCUGAUUAGACACUGUCUUGGAGGUGUCUUGAAAGUUACCAUGUAGGCACCUUGAAACUAGAGACUGGAUUUCUUCCUUGUCAUGGCCCACUUUAAGAGUCUAAUAGAGUGCCCUAGGCAGAGUGGCUUAUCCAUUAUGGAUUGCUGACUGGCUCUAAAACGAGUCGGGAUGUUGGAUGAAAUCUUGGAUUAUCGAGGCUCCCUCUGGAACAUUCAGUACAGCUGUCAUAGAUGUCCUUUGUUCGGGAGAAAACCGGUGUUAUCAAACUUGAAAGCUUGAUGAAAAGAGUAUUUUAGAACAAUUAAUAUUUCAAACUCGAAAAUUGCAGACUGCAGCACAGGAACGUUAGAUACUUCCUUUGCUGCCUUUCUUUCUCCCCAACCGUAUCCCACAUCCCCAUCCCCUUUUCCCUAAAAUACAAGCCUGGGUCAGAUGUUAGGUUGCCACCUGUUGGUGUAACGAGGCACUGCAGCCCAGCUCUACGAAAUACUCUAAAUGCCUGUAGGGAAGUGUACAGAGACUGAAAUGCUGGGAGAUGUGAUUGUAGAGUCAGGUGUGGCCCAGAGAAAUAUCUUCUGGAUGAGGUUGAUCCUGAGGGAAGGGUGAGGGCUAACAGCAGAGGGGAAUCCUGGAGUAAGAGAGACACUACUAAGCCCUCUAAGUGCUGUAGAGGAAAAGCAAACAGUUAUUUGGAGGCACUAACUUCUGUAAUACCUAAUACUACUAGUGUGUAAAUAAUAAGACCUCCAUCCCACUGGGCUGACCAUCAGUGUAAUCCUGCCUUUCUCAAACCUUUGCCCUUAGUCAAAGUUGUUGGAGCCCAGCUUAAAACUACAUUGAAGAGCAAAGAAAAAUGAGGUUUCACUACAUAUUUGGGGUGGGCUGCAUUUUUGAAAGAUGGCUGCCACAACAUCCCACAUGUUUUUCUGCAGUGAGACCUGUCACUCUCCCAUCAAGUAGAGAGGUCUGUGUCUCUACCCCUUUGAACCCAGGUGGGUCCUAUGCCUGCUUUGACUGAGAGAAUGAGGUGGAAGUGAUGCUGUGUGGUUUUUUCAGGACAGGAUCACAGAAAGACUUGAAGCUUCCUGAGCCUACUAGAAUGCUCACUUUUGGGACAGUCCCUCUUGGAAGGUAGCCACCAUGCUGUGAGAAGCCCAAACUACAAUGGACAGGCCACACUUAAAGGCAUUCCGGUUGAAGCCCCAGUUAAGUUCCCAGCCAGCAGCCAAUAUUAACUGUCAGCCCCGUGUGUGUGCCAUUUUGGAUGUCCAGCUGGGUUAAGCCUUCAAGACUCCAGCCCCAGCCAACACCUGACUACAGCUGCACAAGACACCCAGAGUAAAAACCCCCCAGCUGAGCAAGCCCCCCAGCUGAGCCCAGUCAACUCACAGAACUGUGAGAGAGAGUAACGAGUUGUUGUACUAAAGCCACUAGGUUUGGGUGCAUGAUGUGGCAAUAGAUAUCAAGGACAAGAGCAACUUUGGUUAGACACAUAAACCAUAGGGUGACACAUAAUUAGGUACAGCUUUCAAAUCUUGGAUUCAGCUUUAGGGCAAUGAGUCCCUAACAUCGUAGAGCAGUACUAUUUCAGUUCACAUCUGCUGCCUCUGAUCAAAACACUAUCUUGCACUUCCUGAGAGAGAGAGCACUUCCUGCCAGGUGUCCCCUUGUGUCCUCCUCUGUGUGACUGUGGGGUUCAGUGUCUCUCACACAUUCGAGCAUGGCGCUUGGUGCCUUAUUUGGAGGCCACGAGAUAGAAGCCAUGCUCUUGCCUCCAGAAGGUUUUGUGGGUGGGAUUGUGCCAUAGACAGCAAGAAUCCACCCACACAUUUUCUUUGAAUCAACUUUAGUGAUGGAUAUUUACAUAUGAUAAAUGAGACCCAUUUGAAGUGUUCAGAUUGAUGAGAUUUGACAAACGUAACCCAUGUGACCACCACCCAUGUAACCACCACCAUAAUCAAAGUCUAGGACAUUUUCAUCACCCUAGAUUUUCCUUGUGCCCCCUUUGCGGUCAAUCCCCUCCUCCCACCCCCAGCCCCAGGCAAGCACUGAUUUCCUUUGCCAUUAGAGAUCAGUUUUUGUCUUUUCUGGUGUUCCCUAUAAGUAGAAUCAUAUAGGAUGCACUCAUGUGACUGCAUAGUAUUUUGUUCAGCAUAUUUUUGAGGUUCAUCCAUGUUGUGUGUACCUAUAGUUAAUUCCCUUUUAUUGCUGCGUAGUCUAUCAUUGUAUGGAUAUAUCACAACCUGUCUAUGCUUCUGUUGAUGGACAUUUGGGUCAGUUAUACUUGGGGCUAUUAUGAAUAAAGGUGCUAUGAAUGCUCAUCUACAAGGAUUUGUGGGCAUAUGUUUUCCUUUCUUCUGGGUAAAUAUCUGAGUGCUAAUAAAGGGUUAUAUGAUAAGUGUAUAUUUCACUUUAUAGGAAACUGACAAAUUGUUUCACGUGCCGCCAGCAAAGUAUGAGAGUUCUGGUUGCUCCCUAUUCUUAUCAGCACUCAACAUUGUCAGUCUUUUUACUCGUAGCAUCCCUGGUGAGUGUAAUGGUACCUCAUUUGCCCACAGGUUUUUGUGUCCUCCGUUAGGAUGUGACCAGGGACUUUUUUUUUCACUGCUGCAUCUCCUAGCACCUGGAAAGGUGCCAACACCUGGAACAGCCCUCAGUACCUGGAACAGCAUGCAAUAAAUAUUUUUGGAAUGAA